UUACCGUGUAAAUACCCAAGACCUGGUUAGGAAAGGAAACAACUGGAAAGAUUAUCAAUUUGAAGAAGACUAUGCUAAAAGCCUAAAAGUCAUAGGAUGAAAGCUUGUUUAAGAACUAUAAAUUAGGUGAGGAAACUAUGAGUGAUCACUAUAAAAGUAUGUUCAUACGAUUAGUUCGACUAGCUAUUUGACUUGAUCAUAUUUCAUAAUUGUUACCAAAUGCACCUAAAAUCUUCAGAUACAACAAAAAGAAAUGCAGGAGAGGCAUGAAAGGCAAGCAGUUUUAAAAAUUUAAGACAAAUACAUCAAAGCUAAAGAAAUAUCUUUAAGAAAAAUUAAGGGAAAAACUUCGAUGGCAAGCAGAUACACUGACCUUUGGCAAUGCCAUUUAUGA
rnacentral:misc_RNA from 1 species